rnacentral:rRNA from 1 species
GAUGAACGCUAGCUACAGGCUUAACACAUGCAAGUCGAGGGGAAACGACAUCGAAAGCUUGCUUUUGAUGGGCGUCGACCGGCGCACGGGUGAGUAACGCGUAUCCAACCUGCCCACCACUUGGGGAUAACCUUGCGAAAGUAAGACUAAUACCCAAUGACGUCUCUAGAAGACAUCUGAAAGAGAUUAAAGAUUUAUCGGUGAUGGAUGGGGAUGCGUCUGAUUAGCUUGUUGGCGGGGUAACGGCCCACCAAGGCGACGAUCAGUAGGGGUUCUGAGAGGAAGGUCCCCCACAUUUGGACUGAGACACGGUCCAAACUCCUACGGGAGGCAGCAGCGAGGAAUAUUGGUCAAUGGGCGAGAGCCUGAACCAGCCAAGUAGCGUGCAGGAUGACGGCCCUAUGGGUUGUAAACUGCUUUUAUAAGGGAAUAAAGUGAGUCUCGUGAGACUUUUUGCAUGUACCUUAUGAAUAAGGACCGGCUAAUUCCGUGCCAGCCGCCGCCGUAA